AGAGCGAACGCUGGCGGCAGGCCUAACACAUGCAAGUCGAACGGACCCUUCGGGGUUAGUGGCGGACGGGUGAGUAACACGUGGGAACGUGCCUUUAGGUUCGGAAUAGCUCCUGGAAACGGGUGGUAAUGCCGAAUGUGCCCUUCGGGGGAAAGAUUUAUCGCCUUUAGAGCGGCCCGCGUCUGAUUAGCUAGUUGGUGGGGUAAUGGCCCACCAAGGCUACGAUCAGUAGCUGGUCUGAGAGGAUGACCAGCCACAUUGGGACUGAGACACGGCCCAAACUCCUACGGGAGGCAGCAGUGGGGAAUCUUGCGCAAGUGGGCGAAAGCCUGACGCAGCCAUGCCGCGUGUAUGAUGAAGGUCUUAGGAUUGUAAAAUACUUCACGGUGAAGAUAAUGACUGUAGCCGGAGAAGAACGCCCGGAUAACUCGUGCCAGCAGCCGC
rnacentral:rRNA from 1 species